AAACCCCCAUUCCACAGAGGCCACUAUUAAAUAUUUCCUCGCACAAGCAACUGCAUCCAUAAUCAUCAUAAUAGCCAUUCUCUCUAAUAACCUGCUUUCCAGACAGUGAACCACAAUCAACACCACUAACCAAUAUUCAUCUUUAAUAAUAAUAAUAGCCCUUGUAAUAAAAUUAGGAAUAGCCCCCUUCCACUUCUGAGUCCCAGAAGUUACUCAAGGAACCCCCGCUAAUACCCAGCCUACUCCUCCUCACAUGACAAAAACUAACCCCAUUUCAAUUACAUAUCAAAUCUCCCCAUUAGUAAACAUAAAUAUUAUUCUUACCCUUUCAAUUUUAUCUAUCAUGGCAGGCUGGACUUAAUCAAACACAACUACGUAAAAUCCUAGCAUACUCCCCAAUCACUCACAUAGGCUGAAUAAUAGCAGUGCUAAUAUACAACCCAAAUAUUACCAUUUUUAACCUAGCCAUCUAUUUUAUUCUAACAACUACUGCAUUCCUAGUACUCAACCUAAACUCAAGCACUACAACCCUAUUACUAUCUCACACCUGAAACAACUUAACCUGAUUAACACCCCUGAUCCCAUCUAUUCUACUAUCACUGGGGAAAGACCUGCC
rnacentral:lncRNA from 1 species